UGCUCGCUUCGGCAGCAAUAUACUAAAAUUGGAAGGAUACGGAGAAAAUUAGCAUGGCCCCUGCACAUGGAUGACAAGCAAAUUCAAAAAACGUUCCAUAUUUUU
rnacentral:snRNA from 2 species